AUUGAACGCUGGCGGCAGGCCUAACACAUGCAAGUCGAGCGAGCGGCGGACGGGUGAGUAAUGUAUGGGGACUGCCCGAUAGAGGGGGAUACCUACAGGAAACGGUAGCUAAUACCGCAUACUAUCGGAUAACCCAUAUGGGAUUAGCUAGUAGGUGAGGUAAUGGCUCACCUAGGCGACGAUACCUAGCUGGUCUGAGAGGAUGAUCAGCCACACUGGGACGGAGACACGGCCCAGACUCCUACGGAGGCAGCAGUGGGGAAUAUUGCACAAUGGGCGAAAGCCUGAUGCAGCCAGGCGGCGUGUAUGAAGAAGGGCCUAGGGUUGUAAAGUACGUGCAGUCGGGAGGCGUUACCGACAGAAGAAGCACCGGCUAACUCCGUGCCAGCAGCCGCGGUAAUAC
rnacentral:rRNA from 1 species